rnacentral:rRNA from 1 species
GCUCCUCGAUUCAGCGGCGGACGGGUGAGUAAUGCCUAGGAAUCUGCCUGGUAGUGGGGGACAACGUUUCGAAAGGAACGCUAAUACCGCAUACGUCCUACGGGAGAAAGCAGGGGACCUUCGGGCCUUGCGCUAUCAGAUGAGCCUAGGUCGGAUUAGCUAGUUGGUGGGGUAAAGGCUCACCAAGGCGACGAUCCGUAACUGGUCUGAGAGGAUGAUCAGUCACACUGGAACUGAGACACGGUCCAGACUCCUACGGGAGGCAGCAGUGGGGAAUAUUGGACAAUGGGCGAAAGCCUGAUCCAGCCAUGCCGCGUGUGUGAAGAAGGUCUUCGGAUUGUAAAGCACUUUAAGUUGGGAGGAAGGGCAGUAAGCGAAUACCUUGCUGUUUUGACGUUACCGACAGAAUAAGCACCGGCUAACUCUGUGCCAGCAGCCGCGGUAAUACAGAGGGUGCAAGCGUUAAUCGGAAUUACUGGGCGUAAAGCGCGCGUAGGUGGUUGGUUAAGUUGGAUGUGAAAGCCCCGGGCUCAACCUGGGAACUGCAUCCAAAACUGGCCGGCUAGAGUAGGGCAGAGGGUGGUGGAAUUUCCUGUGUAGCGGUGAAAUGCGUAGAUAUAGGAAGGAACACCAGUGGCGAAGGCGACCACCUGGGCUCAUACUGACACUGAGGUGCGAAAGC